GAUGAGGAACGUAGCGAAAUGCGAUAAGUAAUGUGAAUUGCAGAAUUCAGUGAAUCAUCGAAUCUUUGAACGCACAUUGCGCCCGCCAGUAUUCUGGCGGGCAUGCCUGUUCGAGCGUCAUUUCAACCCUCAGGCCCCCAGUGCCUGGUGUUGGGGAUCGGCCCAGCCUUCCUGUAAGGCCGCCGGCCCCGAAAUCUAGUGGCGGUCUCGCUGUAGUCCUCCUCUGCGUAGUAGCACAACCUCGCAGUUGGAACGCGGCGGUGGCCAUGCCGUUAAACACCCCACUUCUGAAAGUUGACCUCGGAUCAGGUAGGAAUACCCGCUGAACUUAAGCAUAUCAAUAAGCGGAGGA
rnacentral:misc_RNA from 1 species